rnacentral:rRNA from 1 species
GAACGCUAGACGGGCAGGCUUAACACAUGCAAGUCGAGGGGUAUGGUUUUCGGACCAAGAGACCGGCGCACGGGUGCGUAACGCGUAUGCAAUCUACCUUUCACAGAGGGAUAGCCCAGAGAAAUUUAGGAUUAAUACCUCAUAGUAUAGCAGUUUCGCAUGAAACCACUAUUAAAGUCACAACGGUGAAAGAUGAGCAUGCGUCCCAUUAGCUAGUUGGUAAGGUAACGGCUUACCAUGGCAAUGAUGGGUAGGGGUCCUGAGAGGGAGAUCCCCCACACUGGUACUGAGACACGGACCAGACUCCUACGGGAGGCAGCAGUGAGGAAUAUUGGACAAUGGGCGCAAGCCUGAUCCAGCCAUGCCGCGUGCAGGAUGACGGUCCUAUGGAUUGUAAACUGCUUUUGUACAGGAAGAAACACUCCCUCGUGAGGGAGCUUGACGGUACUGUAAGAAUAAGGAUCGGCUAACUCCGUG